GAGGCAGUAGGUUGUCCGGGUUCGCGGAGGUGGCCACGAUCCGGAGCACCCCUGCGCAUGAUGCCCUUUAGCCCAUAUCUCUCCCUUGCCCCAAACUUGCUCUCACCUACCCAAGUGUCCCCCGGGGGGACCACAGGCAAUCCGGAGAGAAAGGGAAACUGUGGUGACGCCGUAGCAGCCUAGCUGGUGUGCCCUCGCGCCCUCCACCUGCAGCGCCAGGUGAGCCGCAGAGACUCACACCCGACGCCACCCUCGGCGUCGGCAAGCCCAAGACAACUCAGUUAGUUAAGCCUCAGGAUCCCGGAUCCUUAAACAAGGGAGACUGGAACUCUCAGCCACUCCUGCAGGACACUCCCCAGAGGCGUGGGGGACUGCAGCGGAGGCCACUAGCUGAUCAGACUCCGAACUCCGGUGCCCAGCAGUCGCCUGCGCUGAGUUAGCCCUGGAGCCCCUACCCAUAUGAAUCCCCGCCGAGUGUCCCAACUUUCCCGCGAGGAUAGCUGUCACGCGACAUCUAUUGCGCCCGGGGCCGCGCGCGGGUGGCGAGCUGGAGCGAGGGAAGUCCCGGACCCGGCGGCCCGGGCUCGCCAAGCAGCAGCGGCUGCAGCUCAGCCAGGGUGACAGAACUAUUCAUCAUUAAAGAAAUGGACGCGUCUCCUUUUUA